CCUCAUGGCCGUUUAUGGCCCAGGGCUACACACCGUGCUACAAUGGGCGGUACAAAGAGAAGCAACCUCGCGAGGGUGAGCAAAUCUCAAAAAGCCGUUCUCAGUUCGGAUUGAAGUCUGCAACUCGACUUCAUGAAGUCGGAAUCGCUAGUAAUCGCGGAUCAGCAUGCCGCGGUGAAUACGUUCCCGGGCCUU
rnacentral:rRNA from 1 species